AUACGGAGGGUGCAAGCGUUACUCGGAAUCACUGGGCGUAAAGCGCGCGCAGGCGGUUUUUUAAGUUGGAUGUGAAAUCCUAUAGCUUAACUAUAGAACUGCAUCCAAAACUAUUAGACUAGAGUCUGGGAGAGGUAAGUGGAAUUAGUUGUGUAGGGGUAAAAUCCGUAGAGAUAACUAGGAAUACCAAAAGCGAAGGCAACUUACUGGAACAGUACUGACGCUGAGGCGCGAAAGCGUGGGGAGCAAACAGGAGUAGAUACCCCAGUAGUCC
rnacentral:rRNA from 1 species